ensembl:lncRNA
GGGAGGCAGUGCAUACCCUUCAUCCCAGCCUUCCAGAAAGACGCAGGCGCUCAUCUGCAAAGCCAGCUGCGGCUGAAUAGGAUGUGUUUCCAUCCUCCAGUGUUUCCUGUCUUUCUAGUGACUUCCUAUCUCUCGUUGAUUGACAAAUCGUUUUAAGAUGCUGGAGACUGAUGAAAAACAAAACCAAAUCCUGCUGUGAUCCUUUCACAGCUGGGCCCUUUCUGUUCCAUAUCUGAGUGGCAGGCAGGACUUAGUGUGAUCAAAAAGGAGAAGGCUGAAGGAACAUCGCUCUGAAGAGAGGAAGGCAAAGCCAGGGGCUCUGUCUCCAGGCCUAGAGCUCUGAGUCGCCCUGGCACAGGCGUGGGAAAGCUAGACCCGCAGAGAGGAAUGGGCAGAGCCCCCAAACCCAGGUACCAUUGGGCUUCCCUGGUGGCUCAGAUGGUAAAGAAUCUGCCUGCGAUGCAAGAGACAUGGAUUUGAUCCCUGGAUCAGGAAGAUCCCCUGGAGAAGGAGAAGCCCAUGGACAGAGGAGCCUGACUUUUUGCUGGAAGCAUCUCUGUGGACCUGAACUGCCUGCCGUGCUUCUGGAAGACUACUGUAUCUGCAUGCAGCGUCCCAAAGUCACCUGACAGGGCUUCAUCUCAGUCCUUCUUUUUUGGGGCCUCCAACUAAAUUGAAUAGGCCCUUCUCUCUUUCUGCAUCUUUUUUUCCUUACCCUUGAAGCAAAAUUCAAUUUCUCAGAGAGUUGCCUUCAUUAUUCGCUAAGCUGAGAUAAUCCCUGGAAAACACGUGAAGUACGCGGAGUACACAGCUCCCUGCCUUUCAGUGCCUCUCAAGCAACCUCAGAAACUCCCAUCUCACCUCCACUUCUAAUGCUGCCUCCUCCUGCUCCUGGCUUUUCUCCUGCCAUACGUCCUAGCCUAGGAGGCAGGUCUGUGGCAAACUGUGAUUUUAAGCAGUUGACUUCAUCUCCUUGGACCUUAGUUUUAAAGAAUGACAAUAUCAGAUCACUGAAUGAUCUAUGCCUCCUGUCAGUUCCCUCUCUCAUCUUAGACCUAGCCUUCCAGGUCCCACUCCUGCAGGAUCAAUAUGCUGUCCUUCCAGACAUUUUCUUUGAAUUCUUCCCAAGUGUCUUCUAGAGGCGGGGCCACACCUCCAGAGUAUAACUCUCCUGGGGGGAACAGCACACCCUGGAU